rnacentral:rRNA from 1 species
AGUGAACGCUGGCGGUAGGCCUAACACAUGCAAGUCGAACGGCAGCACAGUAAGAGCUUGCUCUUACGGGUGGCGAGUGGCGGGCGGGUGAGGAAUACAUCGGAAUCUACUUUUUCGUGGGGGAUAACGUAGGGAAACUUACGCUAAUACCGCAUACGACCUACGGGUGAAAGCAGGGGAUCUUCGGACCUUGCGCGAUUGAAUGAGCCGAUGUCGGAUUAGCUAGUUGGCGGGGUAAAGGCCCACCAAGGCGACGAUCCGUAGCUGGUCUGGGAGGAUGAUCAGCCACACUGGAACUGAGACACGGUCCAGACUCCUACGGGAGGCAGCAGUGGGGAAUAUUGGACAAUGGGCGCAAGCCUGAUCCAGCCACACCGCGUGGGUGAAGAAGGCCUUCGGGUUGUAAAGCCCUUUUGUUGGGAAAGAAAAGCAGCAGGUUAAUACCCCGCUGUUCUGACGGUACCCAAAGAAUAAGCACCGGCUAACUUCGUG